rnacentral:rRNA from 1 species
UACGUAGGGUGCAAGCGUUGUCCGGAAUUAUUGGGCGUAAAGAGCUCGUAGGCGGCUUGUCACGUCGACUGUGAAAACCCGAGGCUCAACCUCGGGCCUGCAGUCGAUACGGGCAAACUAGAGUACUGCAGGGGAGACUGGAAUUCCUGGUGUAGCGGUGAAAUGCGCAGAUAUCAGGAGGAACACCUAUGGCGAAGGCAGCUCUCUGGUACGUGACUGACGCUGAGACGCGAAAGCGUGGGGAGCGAACAGG